rnacentral:rRNA from 1 species
AACGAACGCUGGCGGCAUGCCUAACACAUGCAAGUCGAACGAGACCUUCGGGUCUAGUGGCGCACGGGUGCGAACGCGUGGGAACCUGCCCUUAGGUUCGGAAUAACUCCCCGAAAGGGGUGCUAAUACCGGAUAAUGUCUUCGGACCAAAGAUUUAUCGCCUUUGGAUGGGCCCGCGUUGGAUUAGCUAGUUGGUAGGGUAAAAGCCUACCAAGGCGACGAUCCAUAGCUGGUCUGAGAGGAUGAUCAGCCACACUGGGACUGAGACACGGCCCAGACUCCUACGGGAGGCAGCAGUGGGGAAUAUUGGACAAUGGGCGAAAGCCUGAUCCAGCAAUGCCGCGUGAGUGAUGAAGGCCUUAGGGUUGUAAAGCUCUUUUACCCGGGAUGAUAAUGACAGUACCGGGAGAAUAAGCUCCGGCUAACUCCGUG